AAUAGAAUUUAUUUUUAAAUUAUAGAAAAUAUAAAACGAUCAAAACUAUUUGAAAUUAUUUAUAGCUAGAUAUUAAUUAUGGCAAAGGAUCAGGUGUAUAGAUUAAAGGUGUAAGAUUAAUAGUUUCGUUAAGAUAAGGAUAGAAGUUAAAUUGAACUAGGAAGUCUAGAUAAGAUAGAACGAUAAUAUAUUAGAAAGAGACAGAUAGUUGUUUCCCCGUAAAUAAUAAAUUAUCCAUAAAUUUCGAUUCAAAUAAUAUAUUAAUUAAAUAGGAGACACUCUCAACAGAUAGGUAAUUUAAAUUAGGUUAGUUUAAGAUAUGAUUUAGGUAGGAAAGUACUAUUAGUAAACAUUAAAAGUAAAAGAUAGGAUCAAAUUGCGCAGCAUACUCAAGCGGUCACCUUGCGCGCAAUUACGCGGUGCUACCAGGCUUUUGUUCAAAUUAAUAUAAAAACGCGCUACGAACGAUGUAAAAAUUCAUUCGCAAUAAAGUUAUCGGUGAAGCUCGAACAAGCUUCGAAGUGUAAAAUAAAGUGUUUCUCCUAUCCGAGAUAAAUCAUAUUACAUGGCGACCGUGACGUGGAGCCUGAAUCUAAAAAAGUGCAGUGGUGGAAAUUUCAAAGUCCCAUAAAAAAUCGGACUUGGACGCAAAAACAAAAACAUGUGAACAAAUUCUAAGUCCCAUAAAAACGUGGACUUAGUCGAAUUUGGAAAAUUUGGUGAAAAAAAAAAGGACUCAGACGGCAGUGUAAAAAAAAAAAGUUGAAGUGAGUGAGCGUAAUAGGAGUGAGUGCCAUAACGAUCAUAGAAACAAAAAAAAAGGACAGCUACAGUCCAGCAAAAGUGAGAGAUUUAAUCGUGAGUUGGAUUAUUACUUCGGACACCAACAAAUACCGCCUUACCGCGGGACAGCAGUCACCGCCGUAGCGGAACAGUGAAACAAAAAAUAAUAAAAAAAAAAAAAAGGACAACAUCGUAGCGGCGAACGAGUACAUACAACUACCUAGCACCACGUAGCGGCUUC